rnacentral:rRNA from 1 species
GACAGAGGGUGCAAACGUUGUUCGGAAUUACUGGGCGUAAAGCGUGUGUAGGCGGUGAGGUAAGUCGGAUGUGAAAGCCCAGGGCUCAACCCUGGAAGUGCACUCGAUACUGCUUCGCUUGAGUACUGGAGAGGUUGGUGGAAUUCUCGGUGUAGAGGUGAAAUUCGUAGAUAUCGAGAGGAACAUCUGUGGCGAAGGCGGCUCUCUGGGACGGUACUGACGCUGAGACGCGAAAGCGUGGGGAGCGAACGGG